UACGUAGGGCGCAAGCGUUGUCCGGAAUUAUUGGGGCGUAAAGAGCUCGUAGGCGGCUUGUCACGUCGAUUGUGAAAGCCCGAGGCUUAACCUCGGGUCUGCAGUCGAUACGGGCUAGCUAGAGUGUGGUAGGGGAGAUCGGAAUUCCUGGUGUAGCGGUGAAAUGCGCAGAUAUCAGGAGGAACACCGGUGGCGAAGGCGGAUCUCUGGGCCAUUACUGACGCUGAGGAGCGAAAGCGUGGGGAGCGAACAGG
rnacentral:rRNA from 1 species